GGCGCACGGGUGAGUAACGCGUAUGCAACCUACCAUCAGAGGGGGAUAACCCGGCGAAAGUCGGACUAAUACCGCAUAAAACAGGGGCACCGCAUGGUGAUAUUUGUUAAAGAUUAAUUGCUGAUAGAUGGGCAUGCGUUCCAUUAGGUAGUUGGUGAGGUAACGGCUCACCAAGCCGACGAUGGAUAGGGGAACUGAGAGGUUGUCCCCCACACUGGUACUGAGACACGGACCAGACUCCUACGGGAGGCAGCAGUGAGGAAUAUUGGUCAAUGGGCGAGAGCCUGAACCAGCCAAGUCGCGUUGAAGGAAGAAGGAUCUAUGGUUCGUAAACUUCUUUUGCAGGGGAAUAAAGUGGAGGACGUGUCCUCUUUUGUAUGUACCCUGAGAAUAAGGAUCGGCUAACUCCGUGCCAGCAGCCGC
rnacentral:rRNA from 1 species